CUGGCUCUGAGAAGGAAACAGGAAGUGGCAGAUGGAAGGGUGGUUUUUCUUCCCAGGGUCUCCCCAAGAGCUGCUUCCUUUGACUCCUGCUGUGUGUAGUUCUGCUGACAAUGACCUGGACAGCUCU
ensembl:lncRNA novel transcript